UACAGAGGUCUCAAGCGUUGUUCGGAUUCAUUGGGCGUAAAGGGUGCGUAGGCGGCGCGGUAAGUCGGGUGUGAAAUCUUGGAGCUUAACUCCGAAACUGCAUUCGAUACUGCCGUGCUUGAGGACUGGAGAGGAGACUGGAAUUUACGGUGUAGCGGUGAAAUGCGUAGAUAUCGUAAGGAAGACCAGUGGCGAAGGCGGGUCUCUGGACAGUUCCUGACGCUGAGGCACGAAGGCCAGGGGAGCGAACGGG
rnacentral:rRNA from 1 species